CCUCACUAAGCUGAAGGAAGAACACACAUUUCCAGGAUGCACUGCCCCAUGGUCUUUCCAACUAUGUGAAAGGAGGCUUUAUUGAGAUUUUAGUUCAUUAGAAGCACAGAAAAAUAUGAGGAAAAUAUAUUUAAGGUCACCCUUGCUCUCCCCACUUCUUCAAAGAUUUCAAGAUUCUACAAACACUAGUGGAAACUUGUUUUGUCAACACAACUUGAUGUCAUCAUUUGAUCAAAGUGAACCUACUCCUCGAAAUCCAGCUAAUAUGAAGAGGGACUGCAUGAGGAAAUUUUUCUAAAAUUCAGGUGGCAAGGCACUGAAGGCUGUUUUCUCAUGAAGCAUAAUGCAAUGAUGUUUUUGAAGCUCAAAUUACUUUGCAAUUCCAGCAAAGCUGUGCUUAAUUUCAUUAUAAAUAUACAACCAGCUGAUUGUGCUUAUUGUGGAUACAUUUACCAAAAGAGCAACUCAUAAAACCACACAAGUAUAACAUAAAGUAACCUUGCAAUAUUGGAUUAGUACCAAUCAAUGAUUCCCAGGAAGGUGUACAUAAAACAGUCCCUUAGAUAUGUAGUUCAGUAGUGGGAAUUCAUUCUGGGACAUUUACCUUUUAAUUUGUUAUAAAAAAUCCCAAACCAGCAUCAGAGAGAUUUCUCUCCAAUCAGCAGGUUUUGAAUAUGUUAACUGGAGAGUUUUUUUUCUUGCAUCUGAAAACAAUUGUCCAAUGUAUGUUUUUCACUAUGCUUUUCUGCCUAAAAGCAAAAAAAUGCUCCCUUGAAGACUCAAGAAAAUGGGUAAAGAAAAGGGACAUUGUUGUGCAGACACCCGAAAUGAUGAUACAGAAAAUUCUUUUCAGUGGACCACCAAAUUUAUCUUGAAUUGACAGAGAAGCAAAAGCAUUGCAGACUGAAGAGUCAUAUUAGUUUUGUGCUUUUCUGUUUUUAUUUCACAUGACAAAAGCUAAGCUUAAAUGUUACAAUUUUGGGAACAUUCUGUGUUAUACACAGAAUCACAAAGAUCCGAACAAAUUUAUCUUCCUAAAUUUUCAUUGUAUUAAAUUCCACAUGGAUGAAAACAAACCUUCCUUGGACCUAUGGAAAGCUGUAGGACUGAAAAUAACAAAGAAAUUGUGGAGAGAUGAGGUGGGACUGGGUUACAGGCUGUGGGAUGUGCCUGCAGAACACCAGGGCAGCACAGAGAAGCUUGUCUCUGACUGACCCUGGGGACAGGAGAUGCGACAAGGCAGAUGUCCCACGGAGAGGAUCACCCCAUGGAAGGACAAGGAAGUGUGUUGGUGGUGUGGCAAUGUGUGAUGGGUCACUCAGUGAAAAACACCCUACAAGAAAAUAUUGUGUCCUUAAGAAGUGUUUAAAGCCAGCUCGUUUCUCUCAAUAAACAUCAGAGUCUGCUCUGCCUCGGUUGCUACAAAUGGUGCUCUGCAUCUGGGCUUUGAUAGGCAGCUUGACAGUGGCUGCACCUGUGACAAUGCUCAGCUGAACUCCAGGGUCACUGAAAGGAAGCCCAGGACUGAAACAAAGCCCAUGGCACUGACUGACCUUUCUGCAGGAAGGAUGGAAGGCAGCUAAGAACUGUGGGGAGCGGUGUAUCCCAGGAACUAAAGAACAUCACGGAGAUGUUGAAACAGAUUUUGGAAAAACAUGGCAGGAAAGUUGAAUCUACAGAUUUGAGCAGACUCUUGUAAUGGGCUAAGGACAGAGUGAUUCAACUUUAGACAGUACCAAUGUACUCAGUGUUUUUGGACAAGGGAUGCUUUAGGGGACACCUUGUGUGACUGAAUUUGUGAGGGCUGGCAGAGCUUUUGGGCUCAUGGUGGACUGUGUGUGAGGUGCUAAUGGCGUAUGUGGCACCUGGAGACCGGGAAAAGAAGGACACUUGUGCUGCCUUGACAGCCAUGGUGGGUCCUUCUGUGCUGCCAUCAAGUGAAACACAAGCCUCCAACCAAGAGGCUGUCGGGGCUGUGGGGGAGCCAGAGCAUGGCCCCUGGUCCCCUGAUCCUGGGGGUGAGCCAGAUUUUUCCCCCCAUAUCCAUGGUUGGUGGGUGGAGGUGAGAAAACAAGCUGCUGCAGAGGGGGAAGUGGAUUUAAAAGAGCUCACGCCACCCCGCGCCAUGUGGGAUCAGCUGGAGCAGGGAUGUAGCAAGCAGUGGGGCAGCCUCAGCAGCACAUUCCCUCUCUGCCUGCCCUCUGUGAGAGUAGCAGCCACAGCGGCGAGGACGUGCAGAGCCACGGUGUCAGAGCGGUGGUGGUGAGCACAUGGCCCAGCAGUGAGCACAUGGCACAGCUUCCACCAGUGAGCACAUG